rnacentral:pre_miRNA from 3 species
UCUCAUGGAUGAGCAAAGAAAGUGGUUUCUUGAGAUGGAAUCUACUCCUGGUGAAGAUGCUGUGAA